GGAAUCAACGCUGGCGGCGUGCCUCAGACAUGCAAGUCGAACGCGAAAGUUCCCUUCGGGGAGCGAGUAGAGUGGCGCACGGGUGAGUAACACGUAGGUAAUUUGCCUUCGGGUGGGGAAUAACUCAGGGAAACUUGAGCUAAUACCGCAUAAUGCAGCGGCUCGACAUCGAGGCAGUUCGUUAAAGGCGGGGGAUCUCGCAAGAGACCUCGCGCCUGGAAGAGAAGCCGUGGCGGCAGAUUAAGCUUAGUUAGGUAGGGUAAU
rnacentral:rRNA from 1 species